GACGAACCGUGCGAACGUUAUUCGGAAUCACUGGGCUUAAAGCGCGUGUAGGCGGGACGGCACGUCGGUCGCUGAAAGCCCCCGGCUCAACCGGGGAACGGGCGCCGAUACGACCGCCCUGGAGGGACGUAGGGGGACCUGGAACUUCCGGUGGAGCGGUGAAAUGCGUUGAGAUCGGAAGGAACGCCCGUGGCGAAAGCGAGGUCCUGGACGUUUUUUCUGACGCUGAGACGCGAAAGCCAGGGGAGCCGAACGGG
rnacentral:rRNA from 1 species